CGAAUCUGGCAAUCUCGUGGCGUGGAGUGCGUGUGGUUUGUUAUAUCUGAGUGCUCGUGCUGACCUUUUGCUUGGCCGUCAUCAUCAUACGCCUCUUUUGUACACAAUUAAAGGGCAUCGCGCCAGCAGCAAUGGUGCCGCUUAUCCUGCCCAACAGUCCUGUGCUGCCUUCCGUCCCGAGUCAGUCUUCUCGGCGGCUUUAAUCAAUAUACAUAUACUUUGAUGAUUGGAGUAUACGCAGGUCUUCUCGUACAUGGAGUGUUUCUGUCUUGAGUGUUGUGAUGGGAAAGUCUCCAUUCGCACAUUCCACAUUCGCACACAGCACUUCUAAAUAGGAUGAGUUGAAAGCUAUUUGUCUCAGCAGUUCCCCUUCUGUGUUCGAUCUCUUUCCUUCCGGAGAAAUGUUGCGUCUCUCGCUGUCCUCCUACGGGUAUUUUUAUAGUUACUCCUCUUCUGAUCUCACUAAGUGCAAGCCUCCCUCCUUCGUGUUGCCCUUCUGCACUUUAGCCAUGGUCUGUCUUUACAAAUGAAAAGGCUUAGCAGUACUCGUUCAUUUCAUUUGCUUUAUGGUAAAGUAUACUCUUCUCAGUCUGUUUUGUCUAACGCCACUUGACACAGAGAGAAGAGUAACAAGAUAACUUGAUGGUGAACCGUACCACUUUUAAAACUCUUGCAUAUUUCAGAGACAGUAAUUAGAUUGUCAUCUGUAGAACUUUGUCAUAUAUCUGUUAAGUGAUCACUGCGAUGAAAGCUAGAACGGUGAUUGGUUCUUUAUAGAAAGAAGUAUAUGUUGUCUGUGAGAUUAACACAUCAGUAAUGAAGACUUGCUGGAGGAAAUAUACUCAUACGUCUGUUGAUGAAUUAGGUAACAAUGUGUGAGAUUAUUAUUAUUAUUAUUAUUUUUUAUCCUUCACACUCUCGACCAGAUUGCG